rnacentral:rRNA from 1 species
GAUGAACGCUGGCGGCGUGCUUAACACAUGCAAGUCGAGCGGAAGGGCCCUGCUCUUGCUGGGCGCUCGUGUGGCGAACGGGUGAGUGACACGCGAGUAUCCUGCACUUGAAUUUGGGAUAACUUCAGGGAACAGGGGCUCAUACCGGGUAGGAUCUCCUGCUGCAUGUGGGGGGAAGGUGAGUGCCGGUGGUGGGGGAUGGUUUCGCGGCUUAUGAGCUUGAUGGUGGGGUAGUGGCAUACCAAGGGUUUGACGGGUAGGCGGCAUGAGAGCGUGACCGGCGACAAUAGGACUGAGGUACGGACCAGACUCCUACGGGACGCAGCAGGGGAGAGUAUUACACAAUGGGGGGGCGCCUGAUACAGCAGCGCUGGGUGCGGGAUGCCCGGCUUCGAGUGAUAAACCGAUUUCGAAGGUGACGAAGCGAGAGUGACGGUAACGGGUAAAGAAGCAACGGCUAACUACGUG